rnacentral:rRNA from 1 species
CUGCUGCCUUCCGUAGGAGUUUGGGCCGUGUCUCAGUCCCAAUGUGGCCGGUCACCCUCUCAGGUCGGCUACUGAUCGUUGCCUUGGUGAGCCGUUACCUCUCCAACUAGCUAAUCAGACGCGGAUCCAUCUCAUACCACCUCAGUUUUUCACACCAAACCAUGCGGUUUUGUGCGCUUAUGCGGUAUUAGCAGUCAUUUCUAACUGUUAUCCCCCUGUAUGAGGCAGGUUACCCACGCGUUACUCACCCG